CAGUCGCCACGGUAAUAUGUAGGUGGCAAGCGUUGUCCGGAAUUAUUGGGCGUAAAGGGCUCGCAGGCGGUUUCUUAAGUCUGAUGUGAAAGCCCCCGGCUCAACCGGGGAGGGCCAUUGGAAACUGGGAAACUUGAGUGCAGAAGAGGAGAGUGGAAUUCCACGUGUAGCGGUGAAAUGCGUAGAGAUGUGGAGGAACACCAGUGGCGAAGGCGACUCUCUGGUCUGUAACUGACGCUGAGAUACGAAAGCGUGGGUAGCAAACAGGAUUAGAGACCCCUGUAGUCCCUGUCUCUUAUAA
rnacentral:rRNA from 1 species